ACAUUCUUCCCCACCUGAGUCUGCGCUGACGAUUUCCUGGGCUUAUCUGGAUCUUCCUGCAGAAAGUCAGUCUUAUGUGACCCUGUACAACCUCCUGGACUUUCCCGCGGGCGUGGUGCCUGUCACUAUCGUGACACUACAGGACGAGGAGGAACUGGCCUUCUACAAGGGGUGCUACGGAGAUAGUUCUGACAAAAAUUUCUCAGAGGCGGUAAGAGGAUCCGUCGGAGUUCUGGUGACUGUGCAGUGCAUUGCUUUGCCAUGGGAAGAGGAGCUGUGUCUCCGGUUCAUGAAGGAGGUGGACACCUUGGUCAAGAAUCAGAGGGGGCCCAAGUGAUAGGCUCCUGGAAUGGAGUAACAGCUCAUGAAACACGGGGCUGGUUGUGGUGGCUCAUACUUGUAAUCCCAGCAGUUCAGGAGGCAGAGGCUGGCAGAUCGCUUGAGGCCACGAGUUUGAGACCAACCUGGGCAACAUAGUGAGACCCUGCUUCUAAAGCAUUUUCUUGGUGUUACUCCUGUAGAUCCUCACCCAAGUGUGCUCCUGAUGCCCCUUCCUUCUCAUGAAUACCAUGUCCACCUUAUGUCUCCUCCUUCUGGAACCCCACCAGGUUCCUUUUCUUUGUUGGUCCCUCUGUGUGGGUGCUCAAUAUUCCUCAGAUGGGCCCAGGAUGGGGAGCAGGGUGAGGAGCUCAAUAAACAUUUUCUGACUGGCCCCGGC
rnacentral:lncRNA from 1 species